rnacentral:rRNA from 1 species
AGUCGAGCGAAUGGAUUAAGAGCUUGCUCUUAUGAAGUUAGCGGCGGACGGGUGAGUAACACGUGGGUAACCUGCCCAUAAGACUGGGAUAACUCCGGGAAACCGGGGCUAAUACCGGAUAACAUUUUGAACUGCAUGGUUCGAAAUUGAAAGGCGGCUUCGGCUGUCACUUAUGGAUGGACCCGCGUCGCAUUAGCUAGUUGGUGAGGUAACGGCUCACCAAGGCAACGAUGCGUAGCCGACCUGAGAGGGUGAUCGGCCACACUGGGACUGAGACACGGCCCAGACUCCUACGGGAGGCAGCAGUAGGGAAUCUUCCGCAAUGGACGAAAGUCUGACGGAGCAACGCCGCGUGAGUGAUGAAGGCUUUCGGGUCGUAAAACUCUGUUGUUAGGGAAGAACAAGUGCUAGUUGAAUAAGCUGGCACCUUGACGGUACCUAACCAGAAAGCCACGGCUAACUACGUGCCAGCAGCCGCGGUAAUACGUAGGUGGCAAGCGUUAUCCGGAAUUAUUGGGCGUAAAGCGCGCGCAGGUGGUUUCUUAAGUCUGAUGUGAAAGCCCACGGCUCAACCGUGGAGGGUCAUUGGAAACUGGGAGACUUGAGUGCAGAAGAGGAAAGUGGAAUUCCAUGUGUAGCGGUGA